UCUGUCUCUUCCCUGGUCCAGGCCGACCAGUGAUCUAAUCGCGGCACCUUGAUAUGUAGCACUGCUACACCCUGGCAUUUAAGAAGUCAGCUGGCAGAAGAGAUUGGUUCAAUAAAACUUCUGAAAUCAAUCAAGACUGAAGAAUUUGUGUUAAAAUAUUUGGUGAGCUGUAUGAAUUCUUUAAUUAAAGGCAAGAGUGUCUCAGCCAGGCUGUGAAGGAGAUGGAAGACUGUACAUGUGAAAUACCUCCAGCAACUGCUUUCUCUCUUAUUUAGCUGGAAAUAGACAUAUAAGCAAAAGUGUUAAUGUUUGGAGAUAUCAUUACAGUGAAUGCUUGAGCUAUAUGCUAAAGUUACACUGACAUAUUAAACAUAAAAAGUUAUUUGCAA